GAUAUCUACCUUGCUUCCUUUAAAAUAAAAAUAUAUAAAUAGAUAUCUCGAUAUAUAUUUUUUUAUCUAGAUAUCUAUUUAUAUACUUUUAUUUUAAAGGAAGCAAGGUACAACUG